GUGUUGCGCGACCUGGGGAUUGACCCAGAGGAGAAAAAGAAGAAGCCUGUGAAGAAGAAGAAGAAGGCGGAGCCGGAGGUGACCAGCAAGGGCACUGGCCCUAGUCGCGCAACAACUGCUGCUGGCAAAGGUACUCUUCGCCUUCGUCAACGUGACUUGGAUGAUUAUCUAAGGGAAAAGCUGGUGCUGGUGGGUCAAAGAGUUCUGGAAGCGCGGGUUCUCGCAACCCUGAAG
rnacentral:lncRNA from 1 species